GACGAACCGUGCGAACGUUAUUCGGAAUCACUGGCUUAAAGCGCGUGUAGGCGGGCCGGCACGUCGGUCGCUGAAAGCCCCCGGCUCAACCGGGGAACGGGCGCCGAUACGACCGGCCUGGAGGGGGGUAGGGGGCGCCGGAACUGCCGGUGGAGCGGUGAAAUGCGUUGAGAUCGGCAGGAACGCCCGUGGCGAAAGCGGGCGCCUGGACCCCGCCUGACGCUGAGACGCGAAAGCCAGGGGAGCGAACGGG
rnacentral:rRNA from 1 species